CGGGGAAGAGGCUCGGGAGGGCGCGGGGAAGAACGGGGAGCCCCGGCCGGAGCGCCCCGUCUGCCGCCUCCUGCCCCUGGAGGACAGCGCUAAGGGCCCCAGGAGGAGGAAGAGGAAGGUGAAGGUGAAGAAGAAGGGCUCGGGGCAGCCGAGCCCAGCCGAAGAGCCGGAGGGACCGGGAGCAGGGGGUGACAGCCGUGCGGGGGCUGCCGGGGGGCUGCUGCUCCCCAACAGGGUCGGGCAGGAGGAGCCCACACCCGUCGGGAUGGUCACCCCCCACCCAGGUGAGAGGGACUGGGGGGGCUGCCAGCUCUGCAGGACCCCCAGAGCCGCCCUACAGGGAGCUUGCCAGGCCUGGCAACGUGACCAAGUGUUGGGCCACUGGUGGCCGCCACCUCCAUCAGUUUUGCUUGCAGAUCAGCUGAGCGGGGAGCCAGCUCACCGGAACCCAGAGGGGAAGAGGAGACACGCUUGAGCAUCUCCACAAGGGAUGAUGCACACAAGCAAUGGAGGACGGCAAACCUGCCACCAGCAGUCCUCUCAGCUGGUUUGGUGACAAAGGCACCCUUGCUCAGGUGUUUGGUGCCUGAAAUUUUGUAUUUCUCCAUUCAGCACAGGGUAUGAAAAAGAAAAAAAAGAAGAAAAUCAAGAAUAAAAUCAAGUCACGGGAAGCUUCUCUGGAGCAGCAGCGUGAGGAGGUCUCAAGCACCUUUGAUCUGUACCGCCGGGCUAUGCUGGCUCUGAAGAUGAGGCAGGAGCAGAGGAAGCAGCCAUCGGCCAUCGCUCCCUGAGCAGGGAGGCACAGGGCUCGGUGGCACUGGGACCCUGCUGGGCGCUUGGCCGGGGCUGGCAGAGCAUCAUAAAAGAGCAUCACUGUCCUCUGCAAGGCUUGAAAACCAGGGAUCCGCAGGGGCGAGCCGAAAGUCCCUUUGUCAGGGCUCCUCUGGCAGUGGGACUGCAAAUCCGGCUGAAAAGGGAACGGCUGCCCCUUGCUGCCCCCUGCUCGCGUCCUGCGGAACGCUCCGUCUAAACCCGGGUCAGCCUGCGGAGGAUCCGAGCACCAUCACAGGGGGAAAUCUUGUCUCUUGAAUUGCCCUGUGCCUGGGAAAGCUGUCUUUGCAGGCCAGGGGCUGCCCCGGCCCGGCAAUCUCUCCCUGGCUGCUGCCUGCAGCUGUCUCGUUCCUGCCGCUGGAGGUGGGAGGGCAGUCCCGGGUGAUGUGCAGAGGAGCUCGGCCCAGCCCUGGGCCACAUCUGGCAGGGCUGCCAGGACCCUCUCCACACACGGGACCGAGGUGAUGCCGUGCCUCCUGCAGCCCGUCACUGAAAAUUGAAGUUCAAUGGCAGGCGGUGGCAGAGGUUCCCUGCCCGGGCUCGUUCCUCCUGAUCCCACCAUCAGUUCCAGGGGGACACUGCCACUGCAGCCUGGCACUGCUGCCCCAGUGGUCCCCGAUGCAGGGCUGAACAGGGAAAAGAAAAGAAACUGGCUACUCUUGCUGGCCUCCCAUAAAGUUCUGUCUAACUCUGUUAUACUCAGUGGUUGGUGACUACAAGGAUUAUUUGUAAAUCAAUUGUAAAUAACAGCAGCAGGAGUUGUAAAUACAGCGCUUUCAGUAACCCCCUGUCUCAGUCUGGUGGGGGUCCCUGUGGUGGGGGUGCUGUGGGGUAGAGGGUGAAGUGGGCACCACAAAUGAGAUGGUGGUGAGUGGUUCCCUCCCAUGAAUUUUGUGUUUGUUGGAAAGUGCUGGAGCUCCAAAUGUGCUGAGAAGCAGGAAGCAGUGCCUCAGCAACUGCUCUGGAGAGACACAUUUUCCAUCUCUUGUGCAUAGUAUCAACAGCAUUUUCUACAGGGAGCCAGCUGGUGACACAACCCUGCUUUGCAUUUCAGCACUUGGAUAUUAUCUAGCACAUCCCUCUGUUCCAGUUCCCAGAGAAGCUGACUCAGGAGCAUCAGGGGCCACCAGCAGCUCUCUCCAGCUGGGUCCUUCUGAGCCUGAAGGACGGAGAGAGGUGGAAGGAGGGAGUCUCUCCUUGGCUGAGCUUUGCUGAAGUGAUGACUGUUUGGAGAUGAAGAGUUGUUUCAGCAAGUGCCUGUGGGAAUACACCUCCCACCUCCUCAUACCGACGUCACUUUGCACAAUUGGAUUGUUUCCUGAUGCCUGUUAUCACGAUCAAAAUUUAAAUGUGUGGGCUGGAAGUUGAAGAGUGAGACUACUGCUCUUUUGUGAAGAGCACUGCUUGGUCAGUGUUAAAAACACGGCCAAGUCCUCCUGUGUACAGGACCCCAGCAGCCUUUCCAGCAGCAGGAAGCCCUGGAGGAGAGCCUGGAAGAUGGGUCCGUGUGCUGAGGCUGUCAGCUCCACCCAUGGCCCUGCGGUGCUUUCUCCAGUGUCACUGAAUUUCAAUUUCUGCACACUGGCUGGGUUUAGCCAGCAACUACACCUGAUGUCAUAGCCCCUCCUGGCUCCACUCUACCCCAGAAAUGGGUGGGGAGGGUGAUGCUGGCUCUGAAAUCUCUUCUGAGAGCCCUUGAUUUGCCCCACACAUGGGCAGGGCAGGAGGGUCCCCACACCAAGCUGCUGCUGUACAUCCACUGUUGUGUUUUAUUGAGAAAAACUAAACUGGGUGGUUCUCCCAUGUACCUUUGUGUUUCCAGGGGAGUGGGAACCGUUGUGGAUUUCAUAAUAAUUUCCAGGAUUUUGAUGGAGGAUCAGCCUGCUGAGCACCUGCAGUGGGGAUGCCCCGUGCUCCGAGAGGCAGACAGGGAAGGUCCCAGAUCGGUCCUGGGGGGCUCCACAGCAGCUGUGGGGUGGCAAAACCCAUCAGCAACCAGGUCUGACAAAGGAAAAUAACUUAAAUAAGAGACAGACCUUUGUGAUGGGUGAAAAACAUGUCAGUUCUUUGUUCUUCACUAAACCAAAUUUAUAGAAGGAGCCAGCAAGUGCUUUUUGAGAGCAUCUCAAACAUUGGAAUCUGAGCACUGAUUUAGGGCAGUAAAGGGAGUUAACUGCAAGUGAUUCAGGUUAAUGGGUGUUUCACAAGGCAAAUGGAAUGGAUCACAUCCUGUGGGGUGCCUGCAGGUAACUGAUUCCCCACCAAGCCAUCUGUAAAUCCCAUCACCUGUCCUGGGGCACAUGAACAGCCAGAGCGUGGGCAGGGGGUCCCUGGAGUCCAGAGCCUGGGGUUUGGGUGGUGAGGGGCUUUCACAUGGAGCUGCCCCCUUCCUGCUUCGUGACAAAGGUACAAAAACGAAUUCAAAACCAUCUCUUACCUCACCACAGCAGUGCCUGUGGGGGAAAGGUGAGCAGCCCCUGCUCCUUGGCUUUGCUGUGCCUUGGGAGGCACUGCUAAGGUGUGGGGCUCUUUCCCACGUUACACUGUUGUCUAAAAGCUCCUUAUAGAAUGUACAGACUUAAAUAAACAUGCAUAAAAAAGGCUUUUAAACCUUGGAAUGGGUGUUAGGGUUGAUAAGAGCCUGGGGUGGGUGGUUUUUUGUGCUUGAGAAGCUGGUUGCUAUGUACACUUUCUCCUGCUUGCAGGUUCUACCCUCUGACUAACUUGGGUGGGCUGGGCCAACAUGCUCCUGUGGAACUUUCCCUGCUGAAAAUGUGAGUGUUGGGGAGUGGCUCAACUGUUUUUAGAUGAGCACACCAGGGUCCAGGUGACUUUCAAGAGAUCAUUCCAAAUAUU